rnacentral:rRNA from 1 species
GACGAACGCUGGCGGCGUGCCUAAUACAUGCAAGUAGGACGGAGUUGCGAAAGGGAGAGUAACGCGUAGGUAACUACCUAUUAGAGGGGGAUAACUAUUGGAAACGAUAGCUAAUACCGCAUACUAGUAGAUGGACCUGCGUUGUAUUAGCUAGUAGGUAGGGUAAUGGCCUACCUAGGCAACGGUACAUAGCCGGGCUGGGAGGGGGAACGGCCACACUUGGACUGAGAAACGGGCCAGACUCCUACGGGAGGCAGCAGUAGGGAAACUUCGGAAAUGGGGCGAAACCUGACCGAGCAACGCCGGGGGGGUGAAGAAGGUUUUCGGAUCGGAAAGCUCUGUUGUUAAGGAAGCGGUACUUAACCAGAAAGGGACGGCUAACUACGUGCCAGCAGCCGCGGUAAUAC